rnacentral:misc_RNA from 1 species
UCCUGCUCUCAGAAGGUUCAACAGAAAAAUCUUCUCCAGAGGCCUCCACAUUGCCUUCAUAGUCCUCAUCCAUUUCAAGUGUUUUAAGCACACGACGAGCCAAUAGAAGACCAGUACAAUAUGCUGCAGCAUAGUUAGUGAGACCGACUUCAAGACCAUAACGAGGGAGUUCAUGAGAAUAAGCUGCAGCUAAAACCAUAUCACCAGCAAUGCUUGCAGAUAUGAUUUGUGCUGUGAUAUCCUUGUUGGUAAAUCUGACAACAAAGCGAUAUUUUGGUGUGUUGUAUUUGUUCUUGUCCUGAUUAAUGAGCCGGAUCCGGGCACGAUAAUCAGUCUUUCCCUCCCUCCGUCUCUUGAACUUGACUUGGAAACGCUUGAAGUAGGCCCUGGCCUUCUGGGCUUUCACAAACACCAUUGCUCUCCGGCUGG